AUGAAUUUCAUUGAAGGAUUACCAAAAUCUGAAGGCUACAGUUCCAUCUUAGUGGUGGUCGACAGAUUCACUAAAGUAAGUCAUUUUGUACCACUCAAACAUCCUUGUACUCAUGCUGGGGUGGCCAAGGCUUUCCUACACAAUGUGGCCAGGUUACUUGGUCUACCAUUGUCAAUAGUGUCUGACAUAGAUAAAAUAUUUACUAGUUCAUUUUGGAAAGAACUGUUCAGAGUGUGGGGUAAUGAACUGCAAAUGAGCACUACCUAUCACCCUCAAACUAAUGGCCUGACCGAGAGGGUAAAUCAAUGCUCAGAGAUGUAUCUAUGUGCAAUUCAUGACUGUCCUACCAAAUGGAAAAGUUGGUUACCCCAGGCAGAGUUCUUGUAUAACUCUACAUUUCACUCCUCACUGGGAUGUACUCCUUACAAAGCUAUGUGUGGGCGUGAUCCCAACAUUGGACAGUUGGCAGGUACUCACACUUCUCUCAAUGAGGAAGUUCACAGUUGACUCACUACUCACAUUGAACACACUAGCAGACUAAAAGAACAUUUACAGAGAGCACAAGUGAAGUACAAACACUAUGCUGACAAAAACAGAUCUCCCAGGGAAUUUUCAGAAGGGAAACAAGUGUAUCUGAGGCUGCAACCUUAUGAUCAAUCUUCAGUGGUUAACAUGCCCUAUCCCAAGUUGGCGUUGAAAUACUUUGGUUCGUUCAAAGUCAUCACAAAAAUUGGAGCUGCGGCUUACAAACUGGAAUUACCCAAAGGAAGUCAAAUUAAUCUGGUGUUUCAUGUCUCUCAAUAG
rnacentral:rRNA from 1 species